rnacentral:rRNA from 1 species
GGAGUUAGCCGGUGCUUCUUCUGCGAGUAACGUCACAGAUGUAAGGUAUUAACUUACACCCUUUCCUCCUCGCUGAAAGUGCUUUACAACCCGAAGGCCUUCUUCACACACGCGGCAUGGCUGCAUCAGGGUUUCCCCCAUUGUGCAAUAUUCCCCACUGCUGCCUCCCGUAGGAGUCUGGGCCGUGUCUCAGUCCCAGUGUGGCUGAUCAUCCUCUCAGACCAGCUAGGGAUCGUCGCCUAGGUGAGCCUUUACCUCACCUACUAGCUAAUCCCACCUGGGCUUAUCCAUCAGCGCAAGGCCCGAAGGUCCCCUGCUUUCCCCCGUAGGGCGUAUGCGGUAUUAGCAGUCGUUUCCAACUGUUAUCCCCCACAAAUGGGCAAAUUCCCAGGCAUUACUCACCCGUCCGCCGCUCGUCAUCUUCAAAGCAAGCUUUUAGAAAUGUUACCGCUCGACUUGCAUGUGUUAGGCCUGCCGCCAGCGUUCAAUCUGAGCCAUAACUCAAACUCUAGA